rnacentral:rRNA from 1 species
GAUGAACGCUGGCGGCGUGCCUAAUACAUGCAAGUCGAGCGAACGGACGAGAAGCUUGCUUCUCUGAUGUUAGCGGGGGACGGGUGAGUAACACGUGGAUAACCUACCUAUAAGACUGGGAUAACUUCGGGAAACCGGAGCUAAUACCGGAUGAUAUUUUGAACCGCAUGGUUCAAAAGUGAAAGACGGUCUUGCUGUCACUUAUAGAUGGAUCCGCGCUGCAUUAGCUAGUUGGUAAGGUAACGGCUUACCAAGGCAACGAUGCAUAGCCGACCUGAGAGGGUGAUCGGCCACACUGGAACUGAGACACGGUCCAGACUCCUACGGGAGGCAGCAGUAGGGAAUCUUCCGCAAUGGGCGAAAGCCUGACGGAGCAACGCCGCGUGAGUGAUGAAGGUCUUCGGAUCGUAAAACUCUGUUAUUAGGGAAGAACAUAUGUGUAAGUAACUGUGCACAUCUUGACGGUACCUAAUCAGAAAGCCACGGCUAACUAC